rnacentral:rRNA from 1 species
GACGAACGCUGGCGGCGUGCCUAACACAUGCAAGUCGAGCGGGGAGGAGGAAGCUUGCUUCCGAAUCCUAGCGGCGGACGGGUGAGUAACGCGUGAGCAAUCUGCCUUGAACUGGGGGAUAACGCAUCGAAAGAUGUGCUAAUACCGCGUAAGACCACAGUACCGCAUGGUACAGGGGUCAAAGGAGCAAUCCGGUUUAAGAUGGGCUCGCGUCCGAUUAGCUAGUUGGUGAGAUAACAGCCCACCAAGGCGACGAUCGGUAGCCGACCUGAGAGGGUGAUCGGCCACAUUGGGACUGAGACACGGCCCAGACUCCUACGGGAGGCAGCAGUGGGGAAUAUUGCACAAUGGGGGAAACCCUGAUGCAGCGACGCCGCGUGAAGGAUGAAGGUCUUCGGAUCGUAAACUUUUGUCUUCAGGGACGAUAAUGACGGUACCUGAGGAGGAAGCCACGGCUAACUACGUG